UACGUAGGGUGCAAGCGUUGUCCGGAAUUAUUGGGCGUAAAGAGCGUGUAGGCGGCUAGAUAGGUCCGUUGUGAAAACUCGAGGCUCAACCUCGAGACGUCGAUGGAAACCAUCUGGCUAGAGUCCGGAAGAGGAGGGUGGAAUUCCUGGUGUAGCGGUGAAAUGCGCAGAUAUCAGGAAGAACACCCGUGGCGAAGGCGGCUCUCUGGUACGUGACUGACGCUGAGACGCGAAAGCGUGGGGAGCAAACAGG
rnacentral:rRNA from 1 species